rnacentral:lncRNA from 1 species
UUUUUUUUUUUUUUUUUUUUGUGGGGUUUUUCUCUUUUUCUCAAAAACUAUUUUUUUUUCGCGGAGUCUACAUUAAAAAUAAAACUCUGAAAAUAACUAUAAAAAUACACCUAAAAAUAAUGCAAAAAAUUAAAUUUAAAAAACUCCCAUCUUUAUUCUUCCACACACUAUCUACCACCACUACUCAUCGCCCUCCGCCACUGCCGCCACACCUCCAUUCUCCACUGCCACCACCACCCUCACCCCUCCUCCCCGUCCUUUCUCCUCUCCCAUUUCCCUCCUCCCUCUUACCCUCCCCUCUCCCCUGGCCCAACCUGCAACUAGAUCGCCGGUUGCAACCAAUUACCGGGGGAGGGGAGAGGAGGAAGAUGCGGGGGAAGGGAAGGGAGGUGAGAAGGGAGAAGGAGGGAGGAGGGGAGGGGAGAGGAGGGAGGAGGAAGCUAGAGGGAGGAGAGGAGAAAGAGGUGGAGGAGAGAGAGGUGGUGGCAGUGGCAUAGGGUGAUGGGUGGUUCUUUAAUAAAUUUUAAAUUUUAAAAACAUCCCCCAAUACAUUUAAAAUGUCAAAUUUCUCACAUACACUAUUAUAGUAAAAUUUUAAAAAAUGUCUCCAACAACAUCUAAUUCAUACGAGCAUCACAGAUAUUUUGUGGACAAAUAACCUCAGCGGAGGUGGUGGUACGGGUUAAUGUGAAACGGCACUAGAAAACUAGUAGCUGAAGCAGCCCACCAAGCCAAGGGACUUUCGUUGCAAAUUACAUACCCCCUCCAUGAAGAUAGGCUUAUUUUCUUAUUGUGUUUGUCCCAAAUUAUAGAUUUAUUUCCUUUUUUAAAGAGUAGUUACCAACAUGUCCAUAUUUAAUGUACAUAAUUAUUAUAAAUUUUUGAAUAUGUUAGUUACCUUCUAUUGACUCCAAAUUGAAAAGUUUGAUUUGUUUAGCAAUUUUAAUUUUGUUGUUCAUUUCAGUCAAAUAUGUAACAUUAACUAAAUUGACUCUUGCAUUGAGAAACCAAAGUACUCUAAGUUUCAGGAGCAAUAUAGUAAUAUGUACCUCUAACUUUGAAUGAAUGAUCUAAUAUUAACAAGGGAUAUUUGAGUAAAGUAUCAACAAAGAAUAAUUGUUGCAAUUAUAUUAACUAAAUUUCUUAAUUUGUGUGAAAAAAAUAAACCUAUCUUUAUGGGACGGUGGAAAAUUAUAUCAGUAGUUUUGUGAACACGAAAAAUGUAGCAUCACACGUACUGCUAGUUCGAGAUUUGCAGACCACUUUGGCAACGUAUGGUCACUUUCCAGCUGCUACGAUGCUAACAUCUACCAACUUUUGGAGAGUCAUUCAAUUAAUCCAAAUUUCACAUCUGUGGCCUCUCUUAUCUUGUACCCGCCCUGUUCCCUGAUAACCACAGCGUCAAUACCCCACUAACUCCAUCACUCGUCGCUCCUGUCACCCUUCAUUAGAAAACGGGAGAUAUAAACACUCGUUGAUUGAUUCAAAUUCAAAUCCCUUUCAUUUCCCAUCCCUAGCUUCCCCCAUCUACUGCCUCGUUGUUCUAGAGUUACUUUUCAAGCAAAUUUUUCAUUUCUUUCUUAGUUGCAAUUAUCACUAUUUUCUAAGCAAAUAAUUUAUUUCAUUUUAUUAACACAAAAAAGAAAAUAAAAAUUAGGAGGGGAACUGAAUUUAACGCAAAUAAUUAAUUCAUUUAGAAAUUUUUUGAAUUCAGCGUGUUUGACAACGGAAAUGCCUUAUCCGUUAAUAUAUUAAGCACAGCUUAAUUUGUAUACAAACUUUUAAAUGAAAAAAUUUCACUAAAUUUUCUGAAUUGAUGACACGUACUAUAACUUUCAUACAUAUAGCACUCUACCAUACGUGCUUUUGCACAAAGUAUACAUGUGUUCGCUUUCUAUUCACACACACACACACACGCAUGCAAAUAUGCACCUCUCAUGCACAGAUACAUACACUUAAACACCAUUUCUAAAUUAUUUCAUUAUUUUCUGGCUCUCUCUCACAUAUAAACUUUUCUUUCUUUAUAAAUACAUAAAUCAAGGCAAUUUUUUUAAAGACAAAAUACGUAUAUUUUUGUGAUAUUUCAAUUCAGCAUUAUGAUUCAGUUAAUUAUCAAACGGAUGUAAUUUAAUUCAUUCAAUAAUUUAAUACUUUCAGUACUUACUUUUCAAAUUUCAGAAUUCACACUUCAAACUUCACACUUAUCAAACGGGCCCUUAAUCUUAUGAUGACCAAGCUUCUUUUUCUUCAUAGAAUCUUGCACCAUGGGAAAUUCAUCUACAAGAGGAUUUACAAUUUGCAAAGCCAGAGAACCCAAAAUUAUAUAAUCUAAGACUAGUUUAACAGGGCUGUUUGAAGCUCCAAAUCGACGAGAAUUUGUUGAUGGAACUCAUUCAAAUCCUCCUGAUUCACCAAAUUUGCCUGAUCAACCUGGACAUUAAGUGACCUAUAUAUGAUCACCUGAGUAUGUGCAUCGUAGAGUUCCUUGAGAAGUUUUAGAAAUCCUGCAUUCAGCAUCUCUCGACUUUCCAAUCCCAAGUACAAGCUUGAUCUAGCCGAAACACCUUCUUGGGAUAAGCCAUCAUCUACCAGAGACAAAGUUCAAGUUUGAUGAGAAGAUGAAGCUAGAUAAAUAAUAUUCUGAUGAGCCAUUCGAGGCACCCUGUAUUGUGGACUUGCACCAAUCAUGGACAGCAAAAGGAGCUUCAACCACAUUUGUCAACCAAAAAAGAUCUUUACAAUCCUUACCUAAAUGAACAACAAAAUUGCUGCCCAUAGAUAAAAUAGUACCCACACCAAAACCCAGAAAAACUGGAUUUUGCUACAAUGAAUGCUUUCCAUCAUCAUCAGACCUGGCCCAAUAUCAGCCAGCCGAAAAGGAACAAGACGAUGCUGAACCAAAUCAGAAUGAAUAGUAGAAGAUCCAGGUAUCAAAGAAGCGAACAUGAAAGUAAAAUCAAAACUUUGGAUCAAAUGUAGUACUAUCAUCCUCGUUGUUACUGCAACAAUGUAGAAUUAGGAGAAACAUGAUGAAUCAAAGAAUUCAAACAAUCACACAGACUCAAAUCCUAAUCUACAGUGACAACGAAGUGUAAUCUAGUUGAUAAAACACUUCACGUGUAACUAAUAAAUUACAGGUGCGAGUCAUCACUAUUGAUCCUCAUGAAAUUAAAAAAAAAAAAAAAAAAAAAAAGAGCCCGUAGCUGCAAGACCCUUUCCCAAUAGGAUCAGGAUGAAAGUUUAGGAAUGUAAACCUGCUUCAAUUUAUGAUUUAUCAAUGAAUCCUUUUUAUCCUUAAUUAGCUUUAAAUUUGGAUUCUUACGGAAAAAAAAAAAUUGGUUUCCACAUAACCAAUUUUAUUGCAGAAUGUACAGAACCCUAGCCACUUUUCUUACUUAAACACGUUGCAAAAAACUACUACUAUCAUCUCCUACUUGAACAUUUACUGCUGUUUCUUGUUUGGUCUAGACAUGAAAUAAAUGACUAUUGAAAGAUCAAAUAUACAAUAAUUUAAUGACAAAUAAGUCAUUAGCACGAAAUAUAGAUGACACACAAGAUUUAAUAUGAUUCGACUCCAUCAUCAAGUCUACGUUCAUUCUUUAUUAUGAGAGAAAUACAAGAAUACAACUUAAAUUCAAAUCCAACCAUUGUAUAAUUUCUCUCACUUCAUGUAUAAAGCUAGUGUCACCCCUUUUGCGCUACUUUAUAGUAUGCCAAUUCACACCUAUUAAUAAGCUAAAUUAGUUGGUCAACACCCAAAUAAUAACGGGAAAAAUUGCUAAGUCCUAACCUACAGAAUAGGAAAUAACUCAUAAUUUCUAAAUUCAUACAAAUAGAAAAUUCUUUGGUUACUAUUUCAAGUAACUAAAUAAUAAGAAAGCUAGCUAGUUACUUCCAUAAAAAAAACCUUCCUAAAUGAAAUUGUUAAGUUCUUGAACAAAGAAUUAGGUCCUGCAUUAGUUUGAAAGAUGGAGAAAGAACGAUUAAUAUAUAAAUAAGGACCCGAGAUCUAACAACUUAAAUUUUUCGGUCAAUGUUGAGUUCCCAACUUACAUAUUGGGUUUCUUUGAUGGACUCUCUCAAGAUUUUUCUCCUUAACAGGUGGUAUCAGAGCUUUUGAUUACGAGUCUAGACUACUCGUUGGUAUCGGUGAAAAUUCUCUUUUUGGUGGUGGACUAUUGGAAUGUGGAUUUUUCUUAGAGUUGGACCGAUGAAAAUUCUCUUUUUGGUGAUGGACUGAAAUUCUAAUUACAAGUCUGGGCUACACAUUGGCACGUUGAUUUUUUUCGGAUUGGAUCGAUGAAAAUUCUUUUUUUGGUGGUAGACUGAAAUACCAUGGAGAGUGGUUGGUAUUCCAUCAGGUGCACUAUGAGUUUGGCAGGGGAUUCGAUUGACAGGGGUCCAAAAUCAAGUAGAAAAGUGGGUCUAUGAUUGUGACCUUAGGUGUUAAGGUGAGUUUGCAUUGAGUAUUAAAAUAAGUUUAGAGAAGAGGUUGUAAACUUGGGUUCAAUAUGAGGGGUUACUUAUGAAGGAGGAGAUUGUUAUGUCCAUGAGUAAAAGAUGGAGAAAAAGCAGUUAAAAUAUAAGUAAGAAGAGGAAACCUAACAGUUUAAACUUUUGGAUCAACGUUGGAUUCCUAACUUAUACAUCGGGUCUCUUUGAUGGGUUAUCUCGAGAUUUUUCUCCCUAACAUUACUAAUCCUAUCCAAAUCAUUAGCUUUCUUCCUUCGUCCUUUGGUUUCUCUUCAUUUCCUGCCUCUGUGUCGUGGUAUUUUAAUUGAGCUAGUCAGCAGUUCAGUAUGUUUCUUCGAACCUAUUGGGUUGGUUCUACUUCAGGUGGGUUUUCUAAGUCUUUUUUUUUUUUUUUGGUUACUAAAGUUUCUUGCAUUAAAAUGUUUAGAAAUUUGAUUAUGCGGCACUUCUUGCUAGAUUUCUACAGUAAAUUGAAGGAUUUUGGCCAAGGUAAAAUAGAGAUUUGAAUUUAUAUAUAAAAAAAAUUGUCACUUGAGUCAGUAUAUCUGUCAAAUAUCUGUCAAAUAGAUUGAGCUCUUCUUACGGAGAGAGUUUUAAUACAAGUUUGCUCGAUAAGGUACGCAAUUCUAUAGUUUUGAUUUUAAUUUCUCCAAAAUUUUUUGUUUUGAGUUAUUUAUGAUUGGAUUCAUUAUUCUUUUAAGGACUUUACGUUGGUGAUAUGUGUAAAUAUCAUUUCUUCCCCUUCUAUGUAGUUUGACCUUCUUUGUGUCUAUUGUAUGAAGUUACAAUAUCCUUCAAAUUGUUCAAGAUAACAAAAGUUCAAACUGUUACGUUUCCAGAAAUGGAGCCGAGUUGGGAACAAAAAAAUUGGAGCCAGCAAGUUAUAGGAGAUGGCUGAGUCAGAUGCAAUAAACGAAUUUAAACAUUAUUUCUCGAGAAUAUUGGAAAUCCAUGGGAAGCAUGGAAACAAUGAAAAGAUUCCAGGAAGCAAUUUGGCAGAUUUUAUUCCCUGGACAUUGUAGCCUCUUACUGGCCAUUUCUCAUCCUUUCCAUCUGAAUUUUUGCUUUUUAAAUAUGGAUCAUUGUGAGACGUUUCAGGUUUUCUUCUUGCUUUAGUAAAACUUCAAUAUAUGCCUUUGCAGGGUUAAUAAAAGCAUGUCUAAAAGAAAAUUUUUGGCAAGACGACAAGCAGAUUAGCACCUGCACUAAUAGAAGUGAGGAUGAUGCUGUUUAAUGUGGAGACAUACAGGCUUUGAAACUGGAACAUUGUUUUUUUUUUUUUUUGGAAUAGUUAAAAUUGGAUUUUGGAAAGAUUUAACUAGCAUAUAUAUAUAUAUAUAUAUAUAUAUAUCAGGUAGAUUUGUAAAGUUGCACAGGAUAUUUCGGGGUAAUCACAUUAUAACACUAGGAGUAAGGCGAGGGAAAAGUAAGUGGUUAUAGAGAAUAAAUCAGUGCAAUCAGGUAGUGGAAGUCGGAAGAAAGGUCCCGUGAUUUUUCAUGUUGGCAUGAAGAAGAAGAACAGACUGUUAAUCUUGAUCCUUGUCUUUUGAUGUUUACAAAACAAAUGGAUAGUACUAAUAUCUCCUCAAAGAUCCUUUCAAUUAUGAAGUAAAUCGGAUUCAAAAAUCAAGUGCAAUUAAAAGAAACAAAGUUUGUUGAAAGCUGUUGGACGCUUGUGAAGACAAGAUCGGACGUCCGAUAAUCAUUGCGCAACUUCGGACGCAUGAAGAACUCUAUCACCGGACGUCCGAAGGACAUAAGACAUUCUCCCUAGUUCACUGAUUUCGAUCAGAUGCAAGCAUCGGACGUCCGAUAGGAUCCUUCAAAUUCGACGAAAGCUGUCGGACGCUCACAAAGACAAUACCGGACGUCCGAUAGAAUUGAGAUAUUCCUUCUAACUCAUUGUCUGCUUUUGGACGCAAGCACCGGACGUCCGAUAGAAUUAAAGAAUUUCUCUCAAGCUCACUGCCAACUGUCGGACGGGAAAUUCAGACGGACCGGACGUCCGAUACUCCAAUGGCUAGUUGACUGUGCAGCUACUUUCUAUCCGUUGGAAGUUUAAUGAAGCACUUUCUUGGUCUUGUAUAAAUAGUGCAUAUCAGAAACUUCAAAUAACUUUUGCACACUAAAGAUACAAAAGAUCUAGAGUGAUUUUAGUGAGAAAAUACUCUUCAAGAAAGAUUUGUAGUCUUGGUGGUGUGAAAUUCGUUGUAAACUUUUCAUUUGUGAGUGAAUACUUCAAUAGUGUAGCUCUGUGAGGGUUGUCCUGAGAAAUAAUAAAACUUCCUAACUUGAUCGAGUGGAGCUUGGGGCAAGGAGAAAGUGAACCUUCCUUUGUACACAAGAUUGGUUGUAUUUCAUUAAUUUGAAGAAGCUUGUUCUAUAAAUUGAUCUACAUGCUCAAAAGGAGUUUGGUAGUCAAUUGGUUUGCAAUUCUUCCCUUCUUAUUUACUUAUUGUUAUCUUGUGAUAUUUAAAUUGCUUAUCUCUUCUACUCCCAAGCAAACUUAUUUUUUUACUAAUUGCUUCAUUAUAUGGUCACCUAGGAAAGAUGAUAAAUUUCAUAUUGAACAAAAAUGUGUCCAUAAUUUGAUUAGUUUUUAUAAUCAACCUAAUUUACCCCCCUCUUAGGUUGUCUUCGGGCCUUACACGGACGUUGAAUUUAAUUGAUUACAUUAAUAGUCUAAAAGAGCUGUUUUCUAUAUGUAAGUGAGUAAGUACUUUUCAUUUACUUUUAAAAUUUGCAUUAGCUACGAGUAGGAUAUUCUCCGUCCAUAUGAAUUUGCUUGUGUUUUUUUUUUAAUGAGAACGAAAUUUUAAUUGAAAAUUUUUUUAAAAAAACUAGCAUAUAUAUAUAUAUAUAUAUAUAUAUAUAUAUAUAUAUAUGUAUGUAUGUAUAUGUGUAUAUCGAUAUAUAUACAUAUAUUUUAUACAAAUAAAGAUAUAUGCAUAUAUUUUAUAUAUGCAUAUAUAUACCCUACACACAUGCACACACAUAUAUGUGUAUGUGCGUGCGUGCGUGCGUGCGCACGUGCUAGCGUGUGCGCAUGUGUUAUCCUUGCCUUUUAAAACUGAAAUAAAAAUUAUCUACCCAAAGAUUAUGCAUGUCCGCUGCUUGUGGAUAUGAUAAAUUUUGCGUAAAAGUAGAACAUGCAAUUAGUUAUUUUCUCAUAAAAAUUUGGUAGCAUCACGGAUAUUGUGACUUUGAGGUUACAUAAAUAAACAAAUAUUUAAAUUCAUUUUAGGAAAACCGCAUAAUUAUAUAAGAAUUAGGAUGUGGAUACACCUAACAUUUUAAGGAUAUAGGAAAUGGAAUAAUGAUCAAUAAAGAUGAAUUGAUAGUUGAGAAUUAUAUGUAAAUCUUCAACAUCAAAAUGUAUGUGUUGCUAUUGUCCUUUCUUUUAAUGAGUAGAUUGGGUACUUGGGUUUUACCAAUCUUGUCAACUAACUAAUUGAUCAAAUGUUAGAAUCACAGUCUCCCUCUUUACAAUAAAAUUGCUAUUAGUUAUUAAUUUCUCUCUGUUUUAACAUCUUUACGUCCUCUAAAUUAAUUGUGAUCUACUUAUAAAAAUUUAGAAUUACUUUGCCUUGCACAAUUCAUGCGGUUUUCCACUGCUAGAUUCAGAAGUCCUUAGUCAUUUAAAAAUAAUGGUUUUACUUGUUUAGUGCAUUAAUGUGUGUAGAAAUAAGAACUAUAAUAGUAUAUUUACAUGUACUGGUUAAUUGGAUCUUUCCCAGUUAACUCCCAAUGUAUCAGCAAAAAAAUAAUUAAAGAUGAGUUAGCAUGAACAAAAAUCAUUCUACAACAAACACUAGUUAUCAAUGUGUCACUAGUUGCAUAAUAUACAUUCUCAUAAACAAAUUGUAGAAAUAAAUCUCUACCCACAGGCACCAACUCCCUUACGUGUGCAAAAUGCAACAAGAAAUUACCCAUAAAAUUUUUUAAUUAACAGUAUCAUAAGCAUAAAGUUAUUAAACUGAAAAAUCUUGAACAAUGAUAAAAAUUGUUAGGAUAAGAAAAUAUUUUCAAAUUUUGUGGAGAAUUAGCAAUAAUUCUUUUUGGAAUUGAUUAAUGAAAGUCCAUUAAGGCAUCCAUUAUAAUCCUUCCUGAGAUUCAACAUAGACCUAAAGCCAUACAUUUCUUUAAUUUUUCGUACUCAGUUCACUGAAAUCCAUUUCAAAAUCAAUAAACCUACACUAAACCUUUGAUUGCUUAUGUUUAGCAUUUUUCAAAUUUCUAUUGAUGUUCAAGAAUUAAAAACAGUGCUAAGGAUAGUAUCAAUGAUAAGAGACAUAUUUUCAUUUUUUUUUCAAUAGUUUUAAAUAUGUACGUGCAAUUUACGUGGCUAUUCCAUAAGUUUUUCUUAUUUUUCCUUUAAAUAUAUGUCUUAUACCCAUUAAUUCUUACCACAAUAGGGAAUUAUAUGAGUAAGAGGUAAAAGAACAAGGGCUGCAUUCAGCAAUACCCCCAAAAUUAGGGAAGAAUAUUAUUAGUCGACGCGAGUAAUUAACAAUAUUUAAUUUUUAAGUUUAAAUUCAAAACAUGUAUAGAACUUUUCUGGUUAACCAAGUUACUACAACAGUAACCACAACCAUAGAAUAAAGCAAAAGUUUGUAUAAGAGAAAAGGAAAAUAAUCCACUAAAACUUGGUGAGUUUCAAGAGAGGUGCAACUAUUGCAAGAACUAUUUGCUAAAAGGUUUUGAAGUUUACAUCUACAAAAUCUUCUGUGGUUCUGCUUUGUUAGAUGUUAUGAUAUGUAGAUUUUACUUGAUAAAUUAGAAGAAAAAUAGGUUCCAAUUAAGUAGCAAAGACAAGUCAGAUCUAUGUCAGAGGAUGGUUGAUAUGAAAAGUUAACACAAUUAUAAGUGAUGAUGAAUUCAUAUCCAAAGUUCCAUUAGUAGUAAUUCUUUUAAAAAGUUAGACAUGCAAUUAAUUAUUUGAUUAUAGAAUUAAUUCUGGUAGCAUCUGAGAGAAAUUUGUAAUUUUGAGAGUUAUAAAUGCAAUAAAUAUCUAAAUUUAUACUCUUUAUCCCUUAAAGGUUUAACAAACUAACUAUGUAUCCAAAACAUAUCAGGUAUGCGUGUCUAAAACAAAGGGACACGGGAAAUUUUUUUUUUUUUAAAAAAAAAAGGUUAGAAAGAAUUGAUAUUUAGGAAUUAUCAAUAAUUUUCAAUAUCAAAGUUCAAGUAAUUUUCUCAUUCUACUUUCUCUUAAUGGGAAGAUUGGUAAGGUACUUGGCCUUACCAAUCUUAUGGUCUAACUAAUCGAUCUCAUGUUAGAAUCAUAAUCUCUUUCUUUCUAAAGUAAUUAUUUCUCUCUCUUUAAGAAGUUUACAUCCUCUAAAUCAAAUUUUAAUUUAAUUUAUUUAUGACUCAAGAGGUAUCUAAUCUUGUGCUCCCUCCAUCCCAUAAAGUAAGUUUUAUUAGGAUCAAUAUAUAGUUGUAUGUAAACCCAAAACAAUAGCAAGAUGAAUCAAAACGUUUGCAUGCAGGAGCUAUUGUUAAGAACGAUGAAUUACUAUUUCAUUAACAGCAUUUAACCAACCUGGCAACCAAUGAUUUCGACCCCGCAUUGGAGAUAAAAAUGCAUUGAACCCAUAUGAAAUUUUACCAUGAGUUCGAUUAGGAUUUGCUUCUCUCCAAGGUGCCAAAGGCAAGCAUAACAUCAUUAAUGAGAUAUAAUAGUUUCUUUAUGGUCUAACAUUCUUGCCAAUACAUUCUUUUCAUUUUGUUCUGGAUUGUAAUCUCUAAUGAAAAAUAUAGUUCCAUGGACAAAAUCGUCUGUUUAUGACGCAUCUUGUAAUGUAUUGGCGAUGAGUAUAUAAUGCAGUUUGAAUAGCAAAAUUUUUUGUGCUAUGAAUGAAUAUACAGGUAAAGAGUACAUGUAUUGAGUUAUCAAGGAAGUAAUAAUACCAAAAGAAGUUACAGCAAAACUUAAUUAAAAAUGAAGUGAAUUAUUAAUUGUAUAACAAUGACCCUCUGCUCCGCGUCCCAAUUAGGGGUGGCAAUUUUCGACACGACCUGAAAGCACGACACGAACCUAACACGAAAUUAAUGGCUUUGGGUUGAGGUUUCGGGAGUUCGGGUCAGAAUCGGGUUGAACCCGAUGAACCCGAAAAGAAAGCAGGUCGAUUUCGGGUCAACCCGUGGUGACCUGAUAUGACCCGAUAUGACCCGUUUACGAAUUAAAAAUAAUUUAAUAAACAUAAAAAUAAUUUUAUCUAACUAAACUAAGUUAUUCUUUUUUUCCAAAGGCAUUAAUUACUUAAUCCUAAAUGAAUUUAUUUAAUUUGUGUGAAGUUGAAAUUAUUAUAUUUGGAUAAAUAUUAUUUUUUGCUUUUAUACUGUUUUAAUUUAUUUUAUAUUUUGUUUGGGAUAAAACACUUUUACGGUGUUUAAUUUAUUUUAGAUUUGGUUUGGAAUUACUUAUUUUAAAUUUUUAUUACUUGAUUAUGUAAUUAGUUUUGCGAGAAAUUGAUUUUAUUAAAAAUUACAGUAAUAAAUUAAAAUUAAGUUUCGAGUUAUUUCGGGUCGACCCGCCAACCCGAAAUUUUCGGGUUCGGGUCAGCAUACCUGAUCCGUUACGGGUUGACGGGUCGGGUUCGGGUCAACAGAUUUUCUGACGGGUCGGGUCAGGAUCCGACCCGCCAACCUGAUUUAGACCCGAUUGCCAUCCCUAGUCCCAAUCAUCUCUUGAAGGAAUAUGUAUAUCUAAAAGGUCGAAACAACUAAAGAUUUAGACCAUCACGUACUAUUAAAUUUCAAAACUAUCGUUUGUAUUUUUCACAUGAUAAGAUGUAUUUUAUGGACAAAAUAAUAUAGUAAAAAGUCACAAACAAAUAAAUAAGGGAGUGUCAAUAACAUUUCUCUUGUUCCUAUUUUGCAUUUCAUUUUUUUUUUCUUUCUCGUACUACUACAAUACAUUUCCUAAUUUUAUACCAUUUGUAAGUUAUGCAAUGAAGUUUCCAUGAAUUGGCACAUUAACCCUGGGCAGAUUUUAACAAACUGACUAUUAUACCACUUCUGUGACGUGAAAAUCAAGUGGGAUUAAAUUAAAUUAAAUUAAAUAGUUUAGUUGCUGUAUUGACAAAUUUUUCCUCGUACAAAAGUUUCCUUUAUUUUAGUUGGGGAACCUCAGCUGCUGCCGGCUAUCGGCGAAGACCACCAGAUUGAGUACCACCUAUUCCUACUGAUUUUGCUCCGCCAGAAUCUUCAAUUUCCCUUGAACCCAAAAGAUUAUAUAUAUAGCAAAAUGCGUUGGUCCCCUUUUCUGGGGAUCCCACUUGUCAUUGCUCUCAUAUCUUUUCUCUUCUUCAAGAUUUUUCCGCUCAGCUCAUUGAUUAGCAGCCCACCACCAUUACAGCCUGUAAAGAAUUUCUGGGUUUUUGUUACUUUUUUUUGGGUUUGAUCAGUAUUCUUGUUCAAAAAGAUGCAUAAAAAUGCUGUCUUGAUGUUGAUUUCUUGUGCAGAGACUAUUCAGUGCAGAAGAGCUGUCUUUUUACAAUGGCUCUGAUCCUCAGCUGCCCAUAUACCUUGCCAUUGUUGGGUAAUUAAUUAAUCUCCUUUUUCUCCGGUUGAUCAAAUUUCUAUUAGUUCUUGUGUUUUGUUGAGUUUUUUAUGGUUGGUUUUGUUGGGAAUUAAUCAAAAUCAGGUCAGUGUUCGAUGUAACAAAAGGAAAGAGUCAUUACGGUGCUGGAGGGGGUUACAAUCAUUUUGCUGGAAGGUAUAUUUAUUUUACAUUUUGUGUUUCAUAUUCUUGAUUCUAUAAUUUGCUAUGUUGAAUUAGUAGUUUUUCAACUUGUUACUGUAUUAUCCAAUUGCAUAUUUUGGCUCGAGUCGUCAAUCUGUUCAAAAUAUUCAAGUGUAGAAGCUGUAUGAGAUUGAUGCAUAUGACAUUUUUAGUAUGUUUGAAUUCGCUUUGCUACUGUUCUUGGUGUGUGUACUAAGACCUUUCGCUCUGAAAAUUCUUUUAUGUAGGGAUGCUUCUAGGGCAUUUGUUUCGGGAAAUUUUACAGGUAUAUAGUUUGUUAAGUAACAAUUUAAUAACUUUGUUGCUCUGAGGUGUACAUGUUUGUAAGUUGAGAAGGCCUUUGAUUUGAACAGUGGUCGUGGAAAUUUAGCCGCUAGGUUAUUGAUGUGGUGAGUUAGGCGAAACAAAUUUUGGCAUUCAUUUGAUCUGCUACUUGGUAAGAUACUGGAGUUCUGCAAUGAAUUCUGAGUCUAAAUUUACAAUCUGUGUGGGUUAGAACUUAACCCAGAAAUGUAAAUGACUUAGGGAAUGGAGGUUGGAGUUGCACAUAAGGCAUUUACAAAAGGCAUUGUUUUCAAUUGAGCUUGACUUUUCUCAUAUUAUUUUACUUUUCGCAGACAUAAGUCAAAUUCUUAUGAUUAAAUUCUCAUUGCAGAGAUCUGUUUGGAGUAGUGAUUUUGUUCUUUCCUGUCCAUAAAACUUCAAAAGCAACAUGCUUUUGUAGUUCAUUCUGUCUAUAUGUAAGUGUGUUUAAUAAUUAUGAAAAGGAAUUUGUUGAUUACAAUGAUCUGACCACAUUAACAGAAUUGCUACAUUAGUCCAAGGCUGUCAUUAUGGCAAAUUAGUCCUAUUUCUUUCCUAUACAUCAUCUUUUUUUCAUCAAAUAUUUGAAUAUAGAUUCUUGAAUAGUACUGGAGGAGUAACCAGGAUGGGUAUUUAUUGAAGUUACUAAUGUGUGUGACACCUGUAGAACACUGUAUUCCAAAGUUCAUUUUGUAUAUAUCCAGCAUGGUUGCAUGCAUAUGCUAUAACUUUCCAACUUAUUUAGGCCCAAAAAAUUGAUGUGAUGUUUCUUUAGGCAAAAUUAGUGCACGCCUGUUGCUACCAAAAUUGCAGGAAUUUGGGUGGUCUGCAAUGGCAUCCAUUUUCCAUUGCAUCACUACCACUGUGAAUUUUGGGUGUGAAAUUCUUAUCUUUCCUAUGCUCAAUUCCAGUUUUUAUUUCUUGUUGAUUAUUGCUCGAGUUACUUGUGCGCUUCUUUUCCUUUUUGUGAAUUACCUAUCAUUUAUGCUCAGGGGAUGGACUUACUGAUUCACUGCAGGGUCUAUCCAGUCCUGAGGUAAUCCAGUGUACUUUUUUUUCACUGUUCUCUUUUUGUGCUGUUAUUGUGAUUGCUAUCUCUACAUAUUAUCUAUUUGUGUGUCAAUAGCUUUACAGAACUAUAUCUUUUUCAAAACCAAGAGUCAUUGAUUAAGUUAUAUCUUUCUUAAUUGGUUAUAAUUUCAAUGAAGUUGGCUAUUGGUCUUGUGAGUUGGUUUUCUUUUGGUUGUGUUAAUCUUUAUGAACUUAUCUCCUAUGCAGUCCAUCUGCUGACCCUUUAACAACUAUUUUGCAUAACAAUGAAGUCGCUAUACUUGUACUAGUUGCAGUUGUCUGCACAACUUGAUCUGAUGACAUCUAUGAAUAUAGUGGAGUUUCCUUUACUAAUCACUGUAGAUGAGCUUGAUGGUUAUCUUGCAUUUUCAUUUGUGUAGGUUAAAAGUGUUGUUGACUGGCGUGAUUUCUAUUUCAAAACUUACAUGUAAGUAAUGCAUAUCAAUGCACUUUUAAAUUUACAUUUUGGCAGGAAAUACUAUCUCCCCUUGGUGCAUCUCCCUCCCUUCAAUGAGCCUUUCCUUUCAUAAUUUUGUAUAGCUUUCCCUUGUCUAAACUUGACGAGGGCUUCAGGGAAGAGAUGUUCUCAGUAGAUAUAGGAUUUGGGGCUCCAUAAAAAUGACACAGUUAUAUAGUAAAGCAUCUGGUAAAAAAGAUCUGAAUUCUGCUUUAAGCGAAAGUUCAUUGCAACUGCAAUAAUCUACUGUCUUUUUGUACAUUAGUACCAGACAUCUAACGCUGCUUCUCAUACUGUGGUCGUGCGUGCAACAUAUUUUGUAUGAUUCUUCUCAUCCCCUAAUCAACCAUGAAUCUCUCCCAUCUGCAAACCAAGAUUCUUUUUCGCUUUCGUGUUCGAAUAAGAUAAGAUAUUCUAAAAGUAUUAGCCUUUCUGUAAAUCUUUUCAAGCUUGUUACUUGAUUGAGCCAAGUGUACUAGAAAAGUUCACCUGCAAUUUCUUGGAGGGUCCCUAGCAUUGUUUGCAAAAUCAGUUGAGCCAACUAUUUCCAGUCAUACAUACCUAAUCUGUCUGUGUACUGCCAGUCAUGAUCCCCCCCGCUUCCCCCCCCCCCCCCAAAAAAAAACCAAAUUCGGAAAAAGGUCUGAAAUGAUAGAAAACACUUAUUUCAACAUGUUUGCCCCCAGCACGCUUUUUCUAUAUCGUGAGGAGUGAAAAAUGAUUCUGAGUUAAAAAAGUAAGAAUUAAGGACUCGAAGAUUGUGAAUAUGGAUUUUGAAAAAAAUUGGCUGUCUCACUAGGAUUGUUGAUAACUCCUAUUUGAAAAGUUUUGGUUCAUAGGACUAAGGACAUUAAAGAUAGUUGGUAACUAAGAUGUCCUCUUACUAGAUAUGAGGAAUUUCUGUCAGAAACCUAUAUGGACCACCAAAACUCCCAGAGGAAUUGAUUAUUUUACAUGGAAUGCAGCGAGGGAUAGCCAGAUUACUAAAAUAGAUAGUGGAAUAAAAUAUACCUUUUGGAUAUUUUAUUAUGUGUAAUAAGACAGGGGAAGCACAUAUUACCACGUAACUCUAAGAUGGCAGCCUAUUGUUGAAAUUUGGUGUUUAUUCUGCUUGGGAUAUAAUAACUAUGAGAGCCUACUCAAUGGCUGGGAGCUUAAAAGUCAAGCCGAGUGCAGGAAUAUAUAGUUUAUAGUCCAUGCAUCAUUUAUGAGGACCAUCUAGAGGAAUCAGAAUAGACAGGAAGUGAACAAUAUUGAGAAUCCAUGACUGAUAUUAGAAACUUUGCUCUCCCUUCUCCCUUUGUAAAAAAUUUGGAUGUCUUUCCAAGAAUUGUUUCCAAUUUCCUUGGACAGAAAAUUUGUUAUUUAAAAUAUUCAGUCCAUUUAAACAUCUUGUCUCAUGCACAAAAAGAUGUAGUGGUCUGUGUUCCUACCUUUGCUGUUUGUUCUGUUAAUUCAUCUGAAAGAGAAUAUUGUUGCUCUUUCUUCAAGGUAGACUAAGGAUGGUUCAUUUUCAGAGAAAAGCAUUUAGAGAGUACUAUCAUUCCAGAUAAUACUAAAAAAAAUGCUUGAUGAAUGCACCAUCAUAGUGAUGAUGUUUAAGGUGAAAUUAGUCAUUCCCUCAUCAGGAUCUUUAAAUUGACUUGUUGCAUUUAGAGUAAGAUAUUUUUGAUAAUGGUAUGCAUCCUUUUAGUUUCCUUUAUAUAUAAAGCUAAGGUAACUCUUGAUUUUAGAUGAAACCUUUGGAGAGAAGUGCUAAAAGCAUGGUAUUCAUCAAAGUUGGACUGAAUGCUGCAAUGCACCUUUAGUAAAAAUAUAAUGGUUAGAUUGGAUUGGGACUGUUAUAUAAACUAUGAUUCAGGGAAGCAUGUUAAUCCAGCUGGUAGGUGCUUCAAAGGAUUUAGUAUCUCAGGCAUCAUUCAUGUGUUCAUAAAAUUGAGGUUUCUAUUGUAUAGCAGUAAGACCAUUUGUGCAUGGUGUAAAGAGUAGUCUGUUACCUCAAUAACAACUUAAAGAUGAUUGUUUAUCAGGAUGUUAAGGUGGAUGUGUGCUAUAACAAGUAUGGCAUUUUUGUGCUAAGGUAACUACAUAAAAGUAACUAAACAAUUAGAUAGGAUGAAAGAAUACCGUUCAAUACUUUAGUUACUACAAGGAGUAAGGAUUACCGUUAAAAAGUAAAAGAGUAGGAUUAGAUGUCUAGCCAAAGCCUGAGAGAAAGGUAAACAACAAUAACAUAAAAUUGAAUAGUUAAAAAGUGUUUGAUAGAAAUGUGAAUUCAAGAAAAUUAUGGACUUCAGAAGUGGAAGAACAAAAUCAGUAACCAACUUCUACAGUAAACAAGUUUGGCAAACAAGUUUUUGGCCAAGUUCUUGUGCUACAAGUUUUUUAACAACUUUAGCUACAGUAACCUCAAAAUAAUUCUUAAAGUUUUUAAACUAUACACUUCAAAAUAUCCAAAAAUUUACACACUUCAAAAAAUUUUCCUACAACUUCUACAGUAGGCUACAAUACAGUUUUAGACAAACACUCAAAAAACUCAUUUGCCAAAUGGGGUGGGCUCAAUUCUGCCAUAUAUGCAAACAUGAAGCAUUUAGCAUCUAUGUAGUUACCUGGUCUUCAAUGUGGUAAAACUUUUCAAAUCAAUUUGUCUUCUGAAUCAGAAUGGUUUGAUGGUCCAUCUUCUGGUUAUGGGUUUUGAGAAAGAGACAACAUUUGUUAGUUCUGGACUUGUUCCAGCAGGUAUUGGUAAGUAAUGCUAUGUUCAGUUGCCCAAUCUUCCCAAGUUUCUUCCUGUUAAUGAAAUUUCAAGAAGCAUAGGAUCAUAUGGUUCAAAAUGUUCAGAUCCUUGUAUUUGAUAACAUUCAUAAUUGUGGAGUUCUGCAAUGCUAGACAUUUCCAGCUUAUUGCCAUCUCUGGGUUUUUGGCUUAAAGACACGCACUAGCUUUUUGACAUCCAGUAUUUUUCUUUGAAGCUUGUUACGUCAUAUUUCAUCAGCCUUUGCUUUACCAUUGCCAGAUAUGUUGGUAAGUUGGACGGUCGCUACUAUGAUUCCAAGGGCAACCCUACUAAGUACUUAAAAGGGGUAGAAGCAAAGGCAGCUAGAGGAGCACAGUUAUUGGAAAAACAAAAGGAUGAAGAAGCUAAAGUGCCUAGUUGCAAUUCACGGUGGAGUCAGGAUGAGGGUUCAGAGGUGAGCUUUGCAUUCUUUUGUUUUGUAAUAUGUUUACAAAUUAAAGAAAAAGGUGGUAAAGAGAAGAAUAUGUCAGUUUAUCUCAUGUCCAAAUAGAUUACAUUUCUGUGAUGGAUAGUGCGGGUACUGUUACCAAGUAUAAGAUCUUACCCAGCAUAUAGAGAUACAACUUUCCAUCUUUGAUGAAGGAAAUAGGAAUAUUAUAAAAUGAGAAAUCAAGGCAAGAGUGAAAUGUUGGUCUUUGCUUUGUAGUUCAACAGAUUAACGUGUCUACUAUGUACUAAUAAAGGUUGCAUAUUCAUUUCACGCGUAGUGUGAUAUGAAACUAAGUGCAAGAGUAUUGAACUGUCAUGCAGGCAUCUACGGUUAAUGUUGUCGGCUAAUUCUUAGCUUCAAUCAUUCCUGUCAGGUUUGGUGUGAUGAUGGCUACCCGAGGCUAGUUCAGCGACCAAUAGAAAUAGCUUUGACUGGGAAAAUGAGCAAGCGCUGCGCAUGCUACAAAGAAGAUGAACUUGAACAGGCUGGAUUAGAAGUUUAUGAAGGAUGCGAUUUUUUUGCAAAGAAGUGUAGGAUAUAGAAACUGUAAAUUACUAUUCCUGAAAUGUUUGCCAUGUACUUUAAUGUAGUUUUAGAAGGGGAAUACGUCCCCAUAACAGAGAGAGAGAGAGAGAGAGAGAGAGAGAGAGAGCUGUUCUGCUUAUUGAGAAUUGAGAUGCAGCUUUGGGAAUUUGGAUAUUCUUAUUGAGAAUUGAGAUGCAGCUUUGGGAAUUUGGAUAUUCUUGUACCUGUUUUACAGUUGAUGCCUUUGGCAUUGUAAUAUUGGUUUGGUUUAUUAAUGAGUUGAAAUUGCUGCUCUUGACUAAGUUGUAAACGAACUGAGUUCUGGUGGCUUGACAUUUUUUAUACUUGUCGUCAAGUUUUUAAGUGUAAAUUGUCAUUUCGUUUUCGUCAAUAUUUAAAAAAAAAUCUUGAAGAUUUGUGCUCUAGUAGUAGUAGAUUCUUAGUUGCUUGUUUCACAUUUAUCAGUAGUAAUAGGGUCGCCAAUUUGCUCUUUUGUUUGCUGGGGUUUCAACAUCAUAGUCUGGAGUUACUAUAAUGAAAUCCAGAAACAGAUCUUGGAUUCUAGGCUCUCAAAUGGACUAGCAUUCUAUUUUGAAGAUUCCUUUGAUUGAUUUAGCACAAAGGAUCUUCUGUCCCACUUUUUCUUAUCCUAAUAUCUAUUAAAUUGUCACGUAUUUUUCAUAAAACAUUCUAUUUUAAAUCUUUUUCUCAUCCUUUUAAGUUCUGACAAUUACUUUCAAGGUAGAAUACAAAAAAUAAAAGACUAAAUAACAAUAUAUAAUAGAAAAAUAAAAAAUAACAGAAAAUUCAUUCAAAGCCCAUUUUUUGGUUAAAUUUUGCUCUUUUUUUGGCCGAAUACAUAACUCUAUACUAAGGAGAGGAGGAACCUGAAAAAAUUCAAGAACAAUCCGAAAGGGACUGAACCACCACCAACUCAAAUGGGGACCUGAAGAGGUUUAAGGACAACUCGAAAGGGACUGAACCAUCAUUAAUCCCAACGGACAUCCGUUGACAACAUUUCCAGAGAAACUUGGAUUUUUUUAGAAUGUAGGCAAGGAGAUUUAAUCCCUUACCUUACACCGAAGUAAAGUUUUAAAACUCUCUUGGUGGCCAACUACUUUAAACACUACUUUAGAAGUUUAAAGUAGUUGGUUGUAAUCUUUUAUAUUUUACUCCGUUAGUAGUUUUAGAACUUAAACUGAUAAGAAAAGAAAUUAAAAUGAGAUAUUUAAGAAGGAUAAAUAGCAAUUUAAUAAAUGUUAGUACAGGAAAUGAUACAAAAAAAAAAAAAAAACACAAGAUUCUUUGCCGAGUCAGUUGCUACGCUAGACAAACCGAUAAAACUAACUCCACCUUCCCGCCAACUUCCCAUCUCUUUCAGGAUUCCACAGCUCUCCCUCACAAUGAGAAUCCUUCAAGACUUGACCUGCAACAACCCAACUAUAAUCCGAUAUCACCAUUUCCCACUUUCUUUCACCCUAUUCAACUCUCCAUCCUCUGCUCGCACCAUCAUCCAGACCCGGUGGAAGAAAAAACCCGCCAACACUGCCCAAACCCGCCUCCAUGCCCGUACUCGGGACCCCAAAUUGGACCCUCUCACAGCCCAUUUUGUCAGGCUCAGCCGCAUCCUCAACCUUCACCGUCUCGUUUCAGCCCGAAAACGGGGACCCUUUGUCUCCCUUCAGCUCCUCUCCAGGUGGGCUCCGCACGUUGGCCUCGAUACAAUCCCUGUUGGAGCGUUUCUCCGGAAAUACCCCCAUGUGUUCGAUGUAUUUACUCACCCGAUUCUGAGAAAUGUGUGUUUUAAAUUUAGGCAGGAAUUUGUGGAAUUGUUGAAGGAAGAGAACGAUGUUAUACGUGGACUUGAAUUUGAGAGUGUGAUGAGAAUAAAGAAGAUUUUGAUGAUGUCUGUUAAUGGCAGUAUUCAUUUGCAUGCUCUUAGAUUGGCUAGGAAAGAAUUGGGAUUACCUGAAGAUUUUCGUGAAUCGAUAAUUCAGAAGUAUGAUCAUGUUUUUAGGAUGGUAAAUUUAGAGGUUGUUGAAUUGGUAAGGGGAAUUAGUUACAAUUCUGGUCCUGAUGAUAGUGACGAAAAUGAGAGGUUCAUAGGAGUGGCCGAGGUUGAAAAGUGGAGGGAGAAAGAGUAUAGGGAGAAGUGGUUGAGUGAAUUUGAGGUUAAGUAUGCAUUUCCGAUGAAUUUUCCUACAGGGUUUAAAAAAGAAGCUGGGUUUAAGGAUAAGCUAAGGAACUGGCAAAGGCUUAAUUAUGUGAAGCCAUAUGAGAAAAAGGAGGUGGUUCGGGUGCAGACUUGUGGUGGGGUUGAGCGGUAUGAGAAGCGGGCUGUGGCAAUUAUUCAUGAGUUAUUGUGUUUGACAGUGGAGAAAAUGGUGGAUGUUCAACAUUUGGUACAUUUUAGGAAGGAUCUUGGGAUUGAGGUCAAUUUACGUGAGCUUGUUUUGAAGCACCCGGGGAUAUUUUACAUGUCUACUAAAGGAGAUACGCAAAUGGUUUUCCUUAGGGAAGCUUAUAGUAAAGGAUGCUUGGUUGAGCCAAAUCCAAUAUACGAUGUGAGGAGGAAGAUGUUGGAUCUUAUUCUGUUAGGACCUCGUUGUACCCGACGACUCAGGACUGAAUGGGAAGUCAGUAAUCAGGGACAGGACGUAAUUUGCACUGAGAGCAGAAGGAAAGUCAGUGAUGAGGAACAGGACAUAAGUUGCAUUGAGAGACAAGGAGAGGCAAAAGAUGGUGAUUUUGUCAUUCCAAUUUUGGAAGAUUUUGCAGACUGCAGUCAUCAGAACGGACACCAAUGAUUUCACUGAUGUAGUCAACAAAGAGCCAAUUAGGCAGCAAGAGAAGGAAAUGAAUUGGAAAGACAGGUACUGACAGGCAAGUCGGAUUUAGUAUGUGAGUUUUUACCUAAUCAAUUGCCAAGUGGGGCUUCUCCUCCAUAAUUUUACGUGAGGGUUAUUGCCCUUUGCCAUAUGUCGUGACGGCUGCUAAGAAUCUAUCUGACAGUGGUGGGUGCCAUUAUACUUGACCUUCCUUGCUUAUUCCACACCUCUUUUUAUGUUUUAGCAUCCUACUUUAUAUGCAUUUUUUUUCCUUGAGCAUGUCUUGAUCUUUGUAAUUUAUCACUUUGUAAGAUCCCAUGCUUUUGUGAGAGUGACAUAAUUCCAGUGUUUAAUCCUGGAAAGGGAACAAAAUAAUAGCAGUGCAGAGAAUAUAAUCUUCUUGUUCGUGGUUCCUGAAUGGCAAACAAAUUUUUUCACAGUAUUUAGCUUUACACCUUCUGCCAUUUGGAUGACCUUCUUCCUAUUUAAUGAUUGUUAUCCACUUGCUAGAUGAAAUAAAAAUUUCACCUCCUUCCUAUUGAGCAUUAACUGAUCAAAUUUGGGGAAAGAGUGGGUUGAAUAUUCAAGAUUAGAAAUUGCUCUUUUCAAAUAUUUGACCAAUGAUAGCUUCAAGUUUUUACCAUCCCAUUCAUCUGAAUCACUGUGGUUAAAUGCAUUUGAUGGUUCUUAAUUCAGAAACAUUUACUCAUUUAUCCAGAAAUGUCUGGGAUGGUGGUCAUUCUGGUGGCUGAAAAUCUUUUGGAUGGAUGGUCCUUCCUUUUCUUUCUUUCAUUUUCUUCUUUCUAUACUCUGUGUCACUUUCCAUGUGUUUAGGCCUCGAGGUAAGUCUUUUUUCUCCGUGUCCUCAUUUCUCUUUCAUAUUUCCCCUCCAUUCCUGUCUGUUUCAUAAUUUUUUACUCUGCUUGCUCUUUCCUUUCUUAUUUUAGAUGUUAGUAUGUGCCAAGUAUUCUGUCUAUUGUCUGAUCUAUUUGUGCAUUUUCCUUUAACAUUAGCAAGUAAAUACUUGACAUGCUUAUAUACCUUUUUAUUAUCAUUUUUGCAGGACAAAAUGGCAGGGUUGCUGUCAGUGAACGAGCUAGUUUUUAACUUUACAGAAGGUUAAAUCAACUAUUGCCUAUCGUAGUGUCACUGGAAAAGCUUUACCGAAGGUUGAGUCAAACUAUUGCCUAUACUAACGUCACUGGAAAGCUAAGGGCAUUGAUGGGGGCUGUCGUGUUGGCUUUCUGAAACUUAUUUGGUUGGCUAGAUCGCAUCCUGAAUUUGUUCAGAUUGGUCGAGCUUGAUAUGGCUACUGAAGGCUAAUUUCAGGACAGUUAGGAAAAUCUGAGUAUGGGCUGCGCGUAUGCUAGAAAGAACUUAAGCAGGCGGGAUCAAAGGUCAACCGUUUGAGGAGGAUAUGUUAAUUUUGCAAAGAAGUGCAUAUUGGAAGUGGUAAAUUACUUGACCUUUUGGCACAACAAGUUUUUAAGGAUUUGACAGUGAGAGAAGGGGGUGACGAAUGCUGUUUUGUCUACGGCUUCGGUGAUUGCUGAUUGCUCUCAACUGUGGUUCUCAAAUUCCUGACUAUAAAAGGGGUUACCUUCAAAGAAUGUGCCUUGAGGAGCCAGGAAGCUAAGCGCAUGCUGUAUUAGUGCAAGUUCAACCAUCACAGAUGAGGAUGCACCGUACAAUUACCACAUUUGGGUGCUUCGAUGGUGCUAAGAACAUCAAGCUCCAUUAUUCUAUUAGAAGUAGCACAAGCCACUUUGGAAACUGUCACCAUCUGUGUGAUUAGUUUUCUAAAUCUUUUUUCCCAUAUGAACUGCAGAUACAAUCACUUUUCAGUGAAAAACAUAUCUACCUUGCAUUACCGUUUUUGGUAACUGCAGUUGCACUUCUACAAUUUACGUAAUUGAUUUUUACAAAAUUAUAUUACCUUGCUGGAGUGGGAAUGGCAACGGGGCGGAUUUGGGGGGAGGACCCCUCCCCCGUUCCCUUGCAACCCCCGCCUCCGUCCUCUUGCCAAAAAAUUCCUCCCAUCCCCAUCCCACUUCCCCCGUGGGUGGUAAUUUGAUUUUUUUUUUUUCUAGAAGUUUUUAUGCAAUAUAUCAAAACUGAAUUCAAAAAAUAAAAUAAGAUACGGAGUUGAAAAAAAUAAAACAAGAAAAGUGUUGACAUAAAAUACUAAAAAAAUUAAGAAACUCAAUUAGAUUGUAUGGAUACCAUUUUGAAAUGCUCAUAGAAUGCAUAACAUGUUUGUGUCCAAUAUCGACUAAAAAUUUAGAUAGAAAUGGAAUAAAAGUUAUGUUUAGUUGUCAAAUAUUUUAAAUUUAUUAUUAUUAGAUUAUAUAAUAUAAUAUAAUUUAUUUAUUUAUAUUAAUAAAUUGAAGCGGAGGACAGAGCGAGGGAUGGGACAAGGGACAAUCAAAUUAAAAUGGGGAGAGAAAAAUUGCCCCCAUCUCUGCCCCAGCCCCAUUACUCCCCCGCGGGCACCACCUGCCCCAUUGCCAUCCUUAUGUUGAAGGGACCUUUCAGAAUUAGGUGGUUUAUCACUCAUUAUGAUGUAUAUCAAAUGCUAGCUAAGGAAACUUCCCUAAACAUGUUUGCCCUCAAGCAUCAUUUCAUACAUGAAUUCUGUUGAUGUAAAUCCCUAUACGGGCAAGAGAGAGAGAGAAUAAUUACGAAUGUUAAGCCCUUACGAGAUACCAAAUCUUUUACCAAACUGUACCAGAAAACAUUACAAGAUGGGACACAAGUAGCAAAAUCAGAAUCAUAAGCUACGCAGCAGUGGUCAAAAUUACCAACUAAAUCAAAUGGUAAGCUGCAAAGACGACAAGUACACACUACAUAGAUUGUGCUACAUGUAAAUUCUUUUACUUCAUACAAAUGCCACACUGUCUCCUAAGAAGAAUCCUCCA